rnacentral:rRNA from 1 species
UCCAGACUCCUACGGGAGGCAGCAGUGGGGGAUAUUGCACAAUGGGGGGAACCCUGAUGCAGCGACGCCGCGUGGGUGAAGGAGCGUUUCGGCGCGUAAAGCCCUAUCGGCAGGGAAGAAGGAGGACGGUACCUGACUAAGAAGCCCCGGCUAACUACGUGCCAGCAGCCGCGGUAAUACGUAGGGGGCAAGCGUUAUCCGGAUUUACUGGGUGUAAAGGGGGCGCAGACGGCAGCGCAAGCCAGGAGUGAAAGCCCGGGGCCCAACCCCGGGACUGCUCUUGGAACUGCGCGGCUGGAGUGCAGGAGGGGCAGGCGGAAUUCCUGGUGUAGCGGUGAAAUGCGUAGAUAUCAGGAGGAACACCGGUGGCGAAGGCGGCCUGCUGGACUGCGACUGACGUUGAGGCCCGAAGGCGUGGGGAGCAAACAGGAUUAGAUACCCGGGUA